UACGUAGGGUGCAAGCGUUGUCCGGAAUUAUUGGGCGUAAAGAGCUCGUAGGCGGUCUGUCGCGUCGGCUGUGAAACCCUGAGGCUCAACCUCAGGCCUGCAGUCGAUACGGGCAGACUAGAGUGCGGUAGGGGAGACUGGAAUUCCUGGUGUAGCGGUGAAAUGCGCAGAUAUCAGGAGGAACACCGGUGGCGAAGGCGGGUCUCUGGGCCGAUAUUGACGCUGAGGAGCGAAAGCGUGGGGAGCGAACAGG
rnacentral:rRNA from 1 species